rnacentral:rRNA from 1 species
UACCCAAUCCCGACACGGGGAGGUAGUGACAAUAAAUACUGAUACAGGGCUCUUUUGGGUCUUGUAAUUGGAAUGAGUACAAUUUAAAUCCCUUAACGAGGAACAAUUGGAGGGCAAGUCUGGUGCCAGCAGCCGCGGUAAUUCCAGCUCCAAUAGCGUAUAUUAAAGUUGUUGUGGUUAAAAAGCUCGUAGUUGAACCUUGGGCCUGGCUGGCCGGUCCGCCUCACCGCGUGUACUGGUCCGGCCGGGCCUUUCCCUCUGUGGAACCCCAUGCCCUUCACUGGGUGUGGCGGGGAAACAGGACUUUUACUUUGAAAAAAUUAGAGUGCUCCAGGCAGGCCUAUGCUCGAAUACAUUAGCAUGGAAUAAUGGAAUAGGACGUGUGGUUCUAUUUUGUUGGUUUCUAGGACCGCCGUAAUGAUUAAUAGGGACAGUCGGGGGCAUCAGUAUUCAAUUGUCAGAGGUGAAAUUCUUGGAUUUAUUGAAGACUAACUACUGCGAAAGCAUUUGCCAAGGAUGUUUUCAUUAAUCAGGAACGAAAGUUAGGGGAUCGAAGACGAUCAGAUACCGUCGUAGUCUUAACCAUAAACUAUGCCGACUAGGGAUCGGACGAUGUUAUUUUUUGACUCGUUCGGCACCUUACGAGAAAUCAAAGUGCUUGGGCUCCAGGGG